AAAAUCCAUGUGGUGGUGCAUUACUGUU
rnacentral:sRNA from 1 species